GUAUAGAAGCUGUAUUUUAGUUUAUUUAUAUGCCACAGGCUGUAUAGUGAGGCUGUACAAGGACUGUAUAAGCGCUUAUACAUCCUCUAUUCAACGUGCCGACACAUUUUUACUGUGAAAUAGUGCAUUGUUUUGUGGAAAAAUAUUCACGCGCCCGCGAAAUACUGAAGAAUUCAAGAGGAAUAUUACCAAAACAAGCAUUCAGUCAACCAGAAAAGCCGUCAAUUUCAUCUACAGCAACGUGAGCAACAACAUCUACACCAGUAGUUCCAAAAUCUGCAGCACAAUACGUCAUUUAAUAUGUGGAUGAAUCUGAUGUGGCAGCAACGGUUCCACAGUAAAACACUGAUGUAAAUCAGAUGGAAAAUUAUCUAAAAUUGAUUUUAGACAGUCAAAUUAAUAACCCACAAACAAUAAAUGCUCUAAUGGACAGCCAAAAAAAAUGUUUCAUAAAUUGGCAAGUCUACUGUGCAGAUAGAAUACGAAUUUUCCAAGUGUGACAAUACCAAAAACACAGAUGUGGUCGCAUUGGGUAAAACCAGCAAUCCAAUCGAAAAUGAAGCUUUUGUCAUAAAACCAAUUGAUUCAGUUAAUUAUGUAACUGUUUUUCUUGUGUAUCUAGUAAAUAAGUAACUCUUUGAUUAUUUUUAGUUACUUAAGAUAUCCACUGAUGGAUAUUUCUAUUAUGUUUGAAGUGCCAUUGAA